rnacentral:rRNA from 1 species
UUUUGACCUCGGAUCACGUAGGGAUACCCGCUGAACUUAAUCAUAUCAAUAAGACGGAGGAAAACUUAAGCAUAUCAAUAA